rnacentral:lncRNA from 1 species
GUGGCCAUAGACCAAAGCCUUGAUCAUGUUACUAAUUACCUGUCCAAUGUAAUCUGUUACAGCACCGUUACUAAUUACCUGUCCAAUGUAAUCUGUUACAGGACUAAUUACCUGUCCAAUGUAAUCUGUUACAGCACAGUUACUAAUUACCUGUCCAAUGUAAUCUGUUACAGUACUAAUUACCUGUCCAAUGUAAUCUGUUACAGCACCGUUACUAAUUACCUGUCCAAUGUAAUCUGUUACAGCACAGUUACUAAUUACCUGUCCAAUGUAAUCUGUUACAGUAAUAAUUACCUGUCCAAUGUAAUCUGUUACAGCACCGUUACUAAUUACCUGUCCAAUGUAAUCUGUUACAGUACUAAUUACCUGUCCAAUGUAAUCUGUUACAGCACAGUUACUAAUUACCUGUCCAAUGUAAUCUGUUACAGUAAUAAUUACCUGUCCAAUGUAAUCUGUUACAGCACCGUUACUAAUUACCUGUCCAAUGUAAUCUGUUACAGGACUAAUUACCUGUCCAAUGUAAUCUGUUACAGCACAGUUACUAAUUACCUGUCCAAUGUAAUCUGUUACAGCACAGUUACUAAUUACCAGUCCAAUGUAAUCUGUUACAGUACUAAUUACCUGUCCAAUGUAAUCUGUUACAGCACAGUUACUAAUUACCUGUCCAAUGUAAUCUGUUACAGUAAUAAUUACCUGUCCAAUGUAAUCUGUUACAGCACCGUUACUAAUUACCUGUCCAAUGUAAUCUGUUACAGUACUAAUUACCUGUCCAAUGUAAUCUGUUACAGCACAGUUACUAAUUACCUGUCCAAUGUAAUCUGUUACAGUAAUAAUUACCUGUCCAAUGUAAUCUGUUACAGCACCGUUACUAAUUACCUGUCCAAUGUAAUCUGUUACAGGACUAAUUACCUGUCCAAUGUAAUCUGUUACAGCACAGUUACUAAUUACCUGUCCAAUGUAAUCUGUUACAGUAAUAAUUACCUGUCCAAUGUAAUCUGUUACAGCACCGUUACUAAUUACCUGUCCAAUGUAAUCUGUUACAGUACUAAUUACCUGUCCAGUGUAAUCUGUUACAGCACAGUUACUAAUUACCUGUCCAAUGUAAUCUGUUACAGGACUAAUUACCUGUCCAAUGUAAUCUGUUACAGCACAGUUACUAAUUACCUGUCCAAUGUAAUCUGUUACAGCACAGUUACUAAUUACCUGUCCAAUGUAAUCUGUUACAGCACAGUUACUAAUUACCUGUCCAAUGUAAUCUGUUACAGCACAGUUACUAAUUACCUGUCCUAUGUAAUCUGUUAUAGUACCGUUACAAAUUACCUGUCCUAA